rnacentral:lncRNA from 1 species
AGUUCUAUCAUACAGAAAACCAACCCCUAUUUCAAAAACAUAUUAUCAUCUUUUAAUUGUUCGAUAAUGAUGCAUUAUAGAAUAGGAAAAACUAUGCCAAUGAAAAUGAGAAGAAGAAAUAGAAAAAUGGGAAGAUGGGCAGUCAGACUCAAAGUGAAGAAGUUGGAAAAGAUUAUACCAGGAGGCCGAGGCUCAAAACCCGAAAGGCUUUUACACAGAACAGCGGAUUACAUUAUGCUUCUGAGGUUGCAGAUUCAUGUUUUGCAAAAUAUUUCCAAUUACAUACCAUGACUGCUUAUUACAGGAUGCCCUCGUAAGCUCUUGAUAUAUAUGACUCGAACCCUCACCACUCUUUAUCAUAAUUUUCAUCUAAAAAACUAUUUUAUUUUCUCCAUCUCUAUACGGUUCUGAAAAAAUAAAUAGUGAUGUAUAGAUGUACUUUUCAUAUACGUAUCAGAUAGUUCUGAGGAAUACUUGAUUUGUAAUGCUUUAGCUUUGAUUCUGUAUCAGAUAGUACUAAGGAAUACUUGAUUUGUACUGCUUUUGCUUUGAUUCUUGCUUAUGAGUAAGAUAAAGUUAUUACAAAAACAAG